AGGGUUCGAUCAUGGCUCAGAACGUACGCUGGCGGCACGCCUAACACAUGCAAGUCGAACGAAGUAGCAAUACUUAGUGGCAGACGGGUGAGUAACAUGUAGGUAUCUGCCCUUUGGCCUGGAAUAACACGAGGAAACUUGUGCUAAUACCGGAUAAGUCUUUACGGAGAAAGCUUUAUGCGCCAUUGGAUGAGCCUGCACUUGAUUAGUUUGUUGGUGGGGUAAUGGCCUACCAAGACUGUGAUCAAUAGCUGAUUUGAGAGGAUGAUCAGCCACAUUGGGACUGAGACACGGCCCAAACUCCUACGGGAGGCAGCAGUGGGGAAUCUUGCACAAUGGAGGAAACUCUGAUGCAGCGAUGCCGCGUGAGUGAAGAAGGCCUUUGGGUUGUAAAGCUCUUUCGUCGGGGAAGAAAAUGACUGUACCCGAAUAAGAAGGUCCGGCUAACUUCGUGCCAGCCGCCGCGGUAAUUC
rnacentral:rRNA from 1 species